CGAGUCUUCUACGCGUCACUAAAAUUCACAAAAACCAAAGACAAAAAAAAUCUUCCUCGUUCAUUCACUCCGUCAAAAAAACAAUCUCACAUCUCCUGCAAAAACACUUCAGUUACCGCCACGUUUAACGGAAUCUCACUGAUUUAAUUUAGGGUUUUCAAUUUCUAUUCAAAUUGUGUCAUGUUCACGCCACAAAGAAGGCCAUCACCGGCGAUCACAUUAACACCGCGAAGCGAUGGCCGUAAAAGCAGCGCCGCCGUUAAUGUAGGGAAAGGAAAAGCGGUGGCGUUUGUUGACGGUCCCUUGCCUCCUCCGCCUACACCGCCGCCGCCUGUGGCGUCUCUGAGUGGAAAUGCUGCAGUGGCAGAGUUGGAAACUGAAGACAUGGACGAUUGGAGGCGGUUUAAGGAGGCUGGUUUAUUGGAUGAAUCGGCUAUGGAGCUUAGACAUAGGCAGGCACUUGCCGAGAGGGUUUCGAGGCUCGAAAAAGAGCUUUAUGAUUAUCAGUAUAAUAUGGGACUUUUGCUAAUUGAGAAAAAAAGCUGGAACAUGGAAUUUGAGGAAUUAAGGCAAGCCUUAGAAGAGACUGAGGAGAUACUCAAGCGCGAACAGUCAGCACACCUAAUCGCAUUUUCUGAAGUUGAGAAGCGUGAGGAAAAUUUACGGAAGGGUUUGAGUGUCGAGAAACAGUGCGUGACUGAACUUGAAAAGGCUCUACGUGAAUUGCAAGAGGAGCGGGCAGAGAUCAAGCAUGCUUCUGAGUCAAAAUUGGCUGAUGCUAAAGCUUUAUCUGUUGGGAUUGGAGAGAAAUCCCUAGCAGUAGAAGAAAAGAUCAGGGCUGCUGAUGCCAAGCUUACUGAAGUCAACAGAAAGAAUGUAGAGUUGGAUAUUAAAUUACAAGAGGUGGAAGCUCGUGAAAGUAGGCUUCAGAGAGACCGCCUCUCCUUAAAUUCUGAGAGAGAAGCACACCAUGCAACUUUCUACAAACAGAGAGAAGAUCUACUUGAGUGGGAGAAGAAAUUAAAGAAUCAGGAUGAGAAGCUAAGCGAGCUUGGGAGUGCCCUCAAGCAGAGUGAAGAAAAGGUGAAUGAAAGUGACAGGAUUUUUGAGCAGAAAGAAAGGGAUCUAGAGGAGGCUGAAAAGAAAAUUGAUAUUUCUUAUGCAAAGUUGAGGGAGAAGGAGGAUGAUAUGAAUAAUCGGCUAGCAGAUUUGGCUGUUAAAGAGAAGAAUGCAGACUUGACAAGAAGCAUUGUAGAGACGAAGGAGAGGGAGUUACUUGCAUUGGAAGAAAAACUUAAUGCUAGAAAAAAUGUGGAAGUCCAGCAGAUCCUCGAUGAGCACAAGGCUACUCUGGCUGCUAAAAUGCAGGAGCUUGAGUUGGAAUUGGAGGACAAGAGGAAAUCUUUCGAUGAAGAGUUGAGAAGCAAGGUAGAGGCAUUGGGGAAGCGUGAAGCUGAGGUUCUUCAUGAGGAAGAGAAGUUGAGGAAACGAGAACAAGCUUUGGAUAAUAAGUCAGAGAGAGUGAAAGUGAAAGAAAAGGAACUUGAAUUGAAUCUGAAAAAUGCGAAGGAGAAAGAGAAGUCUAUAAAGGCCGAGCAGAAAAGAUUGGAGCUUGAACACAAAAAAUUGCUUGCAGAGAGAGAGAGCUUGCUGAAUCUCAAAGACGGCUGUGAGAAGAUAAGAGCUGAAAUUUCUAACCAGGAGCUGCAGAUUGAUGAAGAGAGUAAGAACCUCAAACUAACUAAUGAUGAGAGGUUAGAACACCUGCGGUUGCAGGCAGAACUGAGGCAGGAGCUGGAGAAGUGCAGGCGUCAGGAAGAGUUCCUUUUGAGAGAAGGUGAAGAACUGAAAGAAGAGAGGGAGAAGUUUGAAAAUGAGUUAGAAGUGUUGGAAGGAAAAAAGGUCCAACUGACAAAGGAGUUGAAUGAUUUUACUGAAGAGAGAGAGAAAUUCAAGAAGUUGCAGUGCGCUGCAGAAGAAAGACUAAGGAAAGAGGAACAUGCUGUGAAGGAGGACCGUCAGAGGGUGUUAGAGAAGGUUAAAGCAGAGAAGGAAUCUUUUGAAGCAAUAAAAAAGCACGAGCAACUGGAUAUAUCUAAAAAUGCCAAAACUGAGCAUGAUUUGAUGCUUCAAGACUUAGAAGUGCAAAAGAGCACGCUUGAGGCUGAUCUGAUUAGCAGGCGAGAGGAACUGGAGAAAGGCCUGCGAGAAAGGGAGAGGGCAUUUCAGUUGCAGAGGGAAAGAGAAUUGAAACAAACAAAAAAUAUAAAAGAAGCUGUUCAGAAAGAUUUGGAAGAAGUACGGUCUGAAAGACUUACAUUAGAAAAGGAAAAGCAAGAAGUUGCAAAGAACAAGGAGAAGCUAGAUGAACAGCGGUUUGGAAUGGAAAAAGACAUUCAUGAGCUUGUGAAGCUUAGCAACAAGCUUCGGGUCCAAAGGGAACAUGACAUCAGGGAAAGAAAUCACUUCCUUGCAUUUGUUGAGAAGCGUAAGAGAUGCAAGAAUUGUGAAGAUGUCACUGGGGAGUUUAUACUAUCUGAUCUCAUGCCACUUGAAAUGGAGGAGAAGGAUAUUCUUCUCCUCCAGGGGCCAGCUGAUAAAUUGAGGAAUGUUCAAUAUGCUCCUGGUGUCACAGAUGUCAAUAGAUCUCCGGGUGAACCUGAUUCCAAUUCUCAAGGACGCAUGUCUUGGUUCCAGAAAUGCACCUCAAAGAUUUUUAGCAUUUCCCCCAAAAAGAUUGAACAUGUUUUAGAUCCAACUUUGACGGAUGGAAAGACGGAUGGAACCGGGUCACUUGCCAGCAAAGAAGCUAGUGGGAGUGGUGCUCCUGGAGAUGCAUCUCAUCCAAACCGUGGGACUACAAAUGGUUCCUUGAACAUUCAGCAGUUCCAAUUUGAUGACAUUAAAGUUGAGGGAGAUGGUUGUACUGUGUCUGUUGACGAUCAUAGUAAUAUAGACAGUAAGGUAGAGGAUUCUGGACUAUCAGAGCUUAAGAGUGGUCGGUCUAAACCUGGGAGGAGAAAGAAGACUGGUUUAAGUAGAACACGGUCGGUAAAAGCAGUUGUUGAAGAAGCAAAGUCUUUUCUUGGGAAGAACUCACAAGACCCUGACUAUAUCAGCGAUGAAAGUCGAGGCAUUAGCAGUCAGAUUAAGAAACCAGCAAAAAAGCGGGGACGUGGACCAAUUGAAAGUGGGCGUGCUAGUGAUAGCGAAGGAGUUUCUGACAGUGCUACAACUGGUGGGCGCAGUAAGAGGCGACAAGUGGUGGCUUCAGCCGUUACACCUGGGCAAAAGCGUUACAAUCUGAGGCGACAUAAGAUUGUAGGGACGGACUCUGCCAACCAAGGAUUAUCUGGCUUGAUGAAAACAGAGGAGAAAGAAACUGAUGGUGGUGGUGGUGCUGUAGAAAUAUUACCAAACCCGGAAACUGUUUCUGCACAGUCGCUCGAAGUUGCUAGCGAGACUGACAAAUCUACAGACUUAGUGAAAGUUACAACAGUGAAGCAUGUGGAAUUCUCACAAGAUACGGUAGUUAGGUUCCACAACGAAAACACAGAUGACCAGGCUGAUGCAUUAAGGUCGGUUGAGAUUACGGAAUUAAGCGAGGGAGUAAAUGACGAUACAACAGACUACGGCGAUGUAGAUGAGAAUGGGAGCACAAUCAACGGGGAGGAUGAAGAAGACGAGGACGAGGAAGAUGAUGAGUCAAAGCAUUCUGGUGAAGUUUCAGUGGGAAAAAAGAUUUGGACUUUCUUUACUACAUAGUUGGGGUGCUUGCUUUUAUCCUUUAUCCUUCAUCUUUCACAUUCAAAUUACUUUUACUACUAUAAGUGAUGCCUAAUCAGAUGAAGUUAGGCUCUCCAUGGCAUUGGAAAUGUUUGGUGAAAUGGGUACAUGGAAUAGUUUUAGGAACUGUAAUUUCCAGUUUUAGAAUUCUGUAUAGGAGUAUGACCAAACAGGAAGCCAUGUGGCACCUGCUAAAGGUUAUACUCUUUCUGUGCUAUAAGGAUGAAUAGUUUUAAGAAAUUAAUUGAUUUUAGGUGUUGUAUUUUAAAAUGUUUAUCGUUUUGAAUUCAUUUUUUUUAAUGCUUAAUCAACAAUCAUUUUCUA